AGGAGCUCACACUGACAGACUUCAUCUUCCAUUGUUGCUGUAAUAAGUCACAGAAGGAGCCCAAAUGCUUCCCUCUUUAACAAAAGUUGAAAUGAAAAAUAAGAAGCAAUUUCACUGAAACAUAAAAUUCUGAAGUGCAAGGAAGAUUUUUACUGUAACAAACAAACCAAAAUAAUCUUGGAUUGGAGUUGCCAAAUCUAUAUGGAUUGAGCAAUUAUGAGUCCAGUCAUCUGUUGCUGAUAACAGUGAAGUGGUCCAGUCAUAGACUUGGGGAGAUGAGUAAAUGAAGACUAUGAAUAGGUAAGAAGUUUUUCCUAU